rnacentral:rRNA from 1 species
GACGAACGCUGGCGGCGUGCUUAACACAUGCAAGUCGAGCGGUAAGGCCCUUCGGGGUACACGAGCGGCGAACGGGUGAGUAACACGUGAGUAAUCUGCCCAUCACUUCGGGAUAACUCCGGGAAACCGGUGCUAAUACCGAAUAUGACCACUUCAGGCAUCUGAUGGUGGUGGAAAGUUCCGGCGGUGAUGGAUGAGCUCGCGGCCUAUCAGCUUGUUGGUGGGGUAGUGGCCUACCAAGGCUUCGACGGGUAGCCGGCCUGAGAGGGUUACCGGCCACACUGGGACUGAGACACGGACCAGACUCCAACGGGAGGCAGCAGUGGGGAAUAUUGGACAAUGGGCGAAAGCCUGAUCCAGCAACGCCGCGUGAGGGAUGACGGCCUUCGGGUUGUAAACCUCUUUCAGCAGGGACGAAGCGCAAGUGACGGUACCUGCAGAAGAAGCACCGGCCAACUACGUG